CUACGGGGCGCACCAGUGGGGAAUAUUGGACAAUGGGCGCAAGCCUGAUCCAGCAAUACCGCGUGUGUGAAGAAGGCCUGCGGGUUGUAAAGCACUUUCAAUUGUGAAGAAAAGCCUGGGGUUAAUACCCUCGGGUCUUGACGUUAACUUUAGAAGAAGCACCGGCUAACUCCGUGCCAGCAGCCGCGGUAAUACGGAGGGUGCGAGCGUUAAUCGGAAUUACUGGGCGUAAAGCGUGCGUAGGCGGCUAGGUCAGUCAGAUGUGAAAGCCCCGGGCUUAACCUGGGAACUGCAUUUGAUACUGCCUGGCUAGAGUAUGGUAGAGGGAAGUGGAAUUCCGGGUGUAGCGGUGAAAUGCGUAGAUAUCCGGAGGAACACCAGUGGCGAAGGCGGCUUCCUGGACCAAUACUGACGCUGAGGUACGAAAGCGUGGGUAGCAAACAGGAUUAGAUACCCCUGUAGUC
rnacentral:rRNA from 1 species